rnacentral:rRNA from 1 species
UGGGGAAUUUUGGACAAUGGGCGCAAGCCUGAUCCAGCCAUGCCGCGUGCGGGAAGAAGGCCUUCGGGUUGUAAACCGCUUUGUCAGGGAAGAAAUCUUCUGAGUUAAUACCUCGGGAGGAUGACGGUACCUGAAGAAUAAGCACCGGCUAACUACGUGCCAGCAGCCGCGGUAAUACGUAGGGUGCAAGCGUUAAUCGGAAUUACUGGGCGUAAAGCGUGCGCAGGCGGUUUUGUAAGACAGAGGUGAAAUCCCCGGGCUCAACCUGGGAACUGCCUUUGUGACUGCAAGGCUUGAGUGCGGCAGAGGGGGAUGGAAUUCCGCGUGUAGCAGUGAAAUGCGUAGAUAUGCGGAGGAACACCGAUGGCGAAGGCAACCCCCCUGGGGCCUGCACUGACGCUCAUGCACGAAAGCGUGGGGAGCAAAACAGGAUUAGAUGCCCUGGUAGUCCACGCCCUAAAACGAUGUCAACUGGUUG